ensembl:snoRNA
CUGCUUACGGUGCACCGUAAAUAAAACCAACACUAGGGAGCAGAGGAAAAUGCCCCUGCACUUCCUGUCUUUGUGGUGGUUCAAACUGAAUCAGGGAGUCAUUU